GAAGUCCCACGAACUGGGCCAGAAAGCACAACUGUGAUUUAUCGGAGAACAACUGUUAAACACUUCAGAAAUUAAAGUUACUAAAAUGUGGGAGAAGGAAGGUUAAAACAGACGGUGAUGACAAAUACCAAACGCCCACUUUUGUGGCGAGGAAGAAGGUAUUCCUGUGUGGAAUCCGUUCUUCCAUUUGAUGAGGAUUUAUGGUUGGGCUUUCUCUUACUGGGGAGACACACAGGGCUGAGAAAGACCCAGGUUUUCAGGUACAGAACAGUCUGCGUGGGGUGCAGCUGUCCCUGUGGAGGGGACAGCCUGCGCUGGGUGAGGAUCCGCACUGUGAGCUGGGGUACAGUGAGGACAUCCCGCGCAUCUCCGCUUCUGAGCCGAGCGCCCUUUCGUUGAUGCAUUUCACUGAAUCUACACAGCAAGCUCCCGGGGCAGAUGCUUCUGUCACCCCAGCUCUACAGAUGAGCAGAGGCACCUGCAGGUUAGGUAACUCGCCUGGGAUCCCAUGACUGGUAAAAGGUCAAACUGGGAUUGGUCACCAAGCUGUUUGGUCAUAAUUGCUUUCUAGAUUCCUUCCCUUGUAUGGACCCUCAACUGCAGGGCGACUUCCAAAAACACUUUGUUCCUUAAGCAUCAACAACGCUCCAGGACAGGCUUAGGGUUAGGACACUUGUGAUCUCAAGUCUUGAUUAGUGCUCUGUGAGGUGACCAUCAUUCACCAUUCUCGAACCCCCCCAACCAGGGAGCUUUGUUGGCACUCAGGGAGACUCUGUGACAUGUCCUUGGCCACGUAGCUGGUCGGCUGCAGAACCUCGUUUUGAAAUCCUGAACUCCUGUUCUCCCACUCCAUAAGCUGUGUUCUGUCUGUUACCCGCUAAGCUUUGGAUGCGCAGAACAGAGGCCGCUGCCCCAGCUCCAGGUCCUGGUCCAGUGGGCCAGUGACAGGUGACAGGUGUGAGUUUGCACAGCGCACACACACACGUACACACACACGUGCUGUACCGCUGGGUGAGUCCUUCCAGACACCCCUGCACAGCAGGGAAUGUGAACAGCAGCCCUCUGGGCAGACGUAGCCCUGUGGUCCCCCAGCUUGGGGCAGUCUGAACUCUGUACUGGACCUCACCCAGCUUAACAUCUGCAGCUGCCCAUGCUUGAGCGGAUGGCCUGUGCAGAGAGACCGAUCCCGGGACCACACGGCUGUCAUCCUCAUGGGUUGGGAGAAUUAAAUCAAAACUCUUUUUCCUGACACAAAACUGACUUGGGCACACCUGUUUCUUUGUGAUGUCUUUGCCACUAUUUUUGUCACAUUCAGAGAUGGAUGGUCUAGAAGCUGAUAGAAGGCUGUUUUUCUGAGCAGUACACCCUACCCUGGCCAGGACCGUGAAGGGUCACUGACUGCCAGGUGAAGGGAGGCUGCUUCUCAGGAGAGAGGAGUCUCCGGGGGCCAAUGGGAGUGGAGGCGGGUCCUCGUUGCUCCCCUCCCAGGCCACCUGGGAUGGCCCCAGCUGCCUUCCACCUCAGGAAGCCUUGUGGAGUGCAACCUCCAUGACCCGUCUGGCCCCAGGAAUGCAUCCCCAAGGUUAUGGGCAGCAGCGGGAAGCUGGAAGGCUGUGUUUCUCCAGCCUGAGUCCAGAACCCUGGCAAAUGGCUCGCAGAAGAAACAAUGAGACUUCAGAAGGUGCUCUGCCUGGAGAGGAGGGCAGUCCAGGAGGCCAGAGGAGCCUAUUCUGAAGACAAGAUCCAAGGAUCCAGGGGUGAAGGAGAAAAGCCCUGCCUUUCAAGGACAAAUCAGAGGGUCCCAAAGAGCUGUGGGAUCAUGCAGAAGCUGUCUUGACAGGUAGUAAGUUCCCUGUCACAGGUAAUAGUCCAAAAGUAUCUAUGACAGGAGAAACUGGAGAAGAAAUGUGUGCUCUGGAUGACAGGUUAGAGAGAUCCCAUCUCUCUCUGUCCCCUGAGAUGUCAUGUUCAGACUGGAUCAGUGCACCAGUUAAGUGUCAUCUGUGUCUGCUUUGCCACAGUGAAUCAAGGUGGCUCAUGUUUACAGACACAAGCCAAGAAGGAUGUUUAGAACCCAGGUACACGAACCCCAAGGCUGUGUGGACCCGGGCUGCAGUCUUGCCUCAGAAGUGAGCCGUGUGACUGUGGGCAAGUCAAGCCUUGCUUUCAUCCUCUGCAAUUCGGGUCACACAAUAUCUCAGAGGGAGUCUUGUAUUCUCCAGGGUUCGCUGAGGGCCAAGUGCUGAGCACCCAGUCAGUGAUGCACGUGCACACACACACAGACACACACACACAAACACACACACACGCAUACACACACAGUAGUCAGAGCCAGGGUCAAGCAGUUGGGAACCUAGUGAGUGGGUACUUUAAGACCCUGAAUUGCGUCUCUCUUCUGGCUCUGUGCUGUACGUCUCUCUUAUUUUUAAAAUUAAAAUGUGAUAAAUGCAGCAAUAUUUUUAUUGUCAAUAAAGAUGAUAAAACUUUGCUGGGUAAUCUGUUCUUUUCUAAAAUAGACCUGAAUUUAUUAUUAUUUAU
rnacentral:lncRNA from 1 species